rnacentral:rRNA from 1 species
AUGGCCAAAUGGCCCAGUCUCUCCUCAAGCCCAAUUCUGAACUCACUACAAAAUUGGAACACUAUCCCUCAAAAGGAAAAAAAAAGAGGUAAUUGGAACCUUAACCACGACACGGCAUCAGUGUCCGGCGGGGUUCCUGCAGAGGCAUCUGGCCUGGCAUCGUGGCGGCGUCCUCGCCCCUCUUUCCUCAAUGCUCCAUCUUGGCAGCAGACCGUGAUUGGCAACGUCCAAGACCCCACCAAGAGGGCGUUGUCGCCUCCUCACAUUAUUCGGCUGUUGGCAAUAAGCCAUGCUUGUGCCCGUCCGGUGGUGACCGGCGUCGAUGCGACAGUUCUGGUCCAUGAUGGGCACGGGGUGUGUGCCGGCUGCGCCGGUUUGUUGCCACGCCACGGUGACGGUGUGUGCCGAGCCGAGGGGGAGGGGCCCAAGGAAGAUGUAGUCUCCGUCGGAACUGUGGUAUGCGCCCGGUCGAUACCGUUCUUCGGCCGGGGCGUUCAUCGCCGGAAGUGUGAUUUGUUCAUCGUCUUCUACCUCCGUCCGGCGUUGAUCGUCGGAGGGCUUCUCGGCGCUCGUCGCCGUGGGUUUGUUCCAACAUUUGGUAUCAUGAGCUGGUUCAUCUUCGGUGUCGUCACCUUGCCGGAGGCAUGCCGGCGGUGGCGGUGGCCGGCGCUGCGGCUGUCAUGGCGCGUGGUGGAGGUGGCGGGUGGUGAUGUCGUACGUGCGGCAACCGCGGAGGCCGCCGAGGCGCUGCGUGGUGGCGCAGCGGCGCUUCACGGCGGCGUGGAUGCUGUUGCGGCUGUGGUGCGGCAUCCGGGGAACGACGUCGACAACGAGUGUAGCGCGGUGGCCAUGGUGCGGAGACCGGGCGGUGCGGCACAGGUCGUCGCGUGCAAGGGGCCGCCGCAACGAGUACAAGACGACGACGGCGGCAAGUGCCCCCGUUUGUUGCCGCGCUACGGUGACAGUGUGUGCCGAGCCGAGGGGGAGGGGCCCAAAGAAGAUGUAGUCUUCGUCGGGACUGUAGUACGCGCCCGGUCGAUGUUCCUCAUGUUGGUCGAUAUAUUGUUAGAACUCCACAAGAGAACCAUACAAGAGUUUGAUACAUCAGGUAAGAAAAGUAACCAGGAUGAGUUCGCUAGGUGGAUGCUCACGCUGUCAAGGAGAUCACCAAGUUUCUGCAACUGGAAAACUACAUCAUCAGCUUGCCUCGGGCAUCCCAAGAGACCAAGUCCACCCGUCCUACCGGACCUACUAACUGCAAAACCCAAAGAUGGGAGACGAUUCAAGCAUUCAGUCGGACUAGCCUACCCCCCUCCCUACUCAUACAUGGCCAAGUGGCCCGGGUCCUGCGGAGUUCCUGCAGAGGCAUCUAGCCUGGCGUCGCGGCGGCGUCCUCGCCCCUCUGUCCUCAACGCAACAUCUUGGCGGCAGACCGUGAUUGGCGAUGUCCAAGUGGGCGUCGUCGUCUCCUCGUAUUAUUCGGUGCUCCUGCGGUUCGUCACGUUGGACGAUAAGUUGUUAGCACUCCACAAGGAAACUGUAGAAGAGUUUGAUAUAUCAGGUAACAAAAGUUACCAGGAUGAGUUUGCUAGGUGGAUGCCCAUGCUGUCAAGGAGAUCACCAAGUGAUUUGAAGUUUUUGCAACUGGAAAACUGCAUCAUCAGCUUGCCCAGGGCAUUCCAUGAUUUCAAGAGCCUAACUUACCUGAUCCGAAACAAUUUCUCAUCCACCGACAGGGAUAUCCAAAGUCUUGUCUCGUUCUGCACCGCACUGACAGAUUUAAUAUUAACUUCUUUUCAGGGCAUCAACUAUUCAAGCCUCAAGUGUGAGUAG